CAUAUGCUUGUCUGAAAGACUAAGCCAUGCAUGUGCAAGCGAAGCUUGAAAAAGUGGAACCGCGAAUGGCUCAUUAAAUCAGUUACUAUCUAUUAGUUGAUUUGCCUGCUAAAUGAAUAACUGCGGUAACCCUGCAGCUAAUGCAUGCUGAUUGUCCGGCACUGUCGGAGACUUUUACAAGACUACACCGGGUGAUUUGCUAAGUACUGACACAUACCGUGAUGAGUCCUAGUAACUGAAAGAUCCCAGAUAGCUUCGGCUUGGGGACGGAACUUCCGAAUUUCUGACCUAUCAACCUAUGAUGGUAGUGUAACGGACUACCAUGGUUGUGACGGGUAACGGGGAAUCAGGGUUCGAUUCCGGAGAGGGAGCCUUAGAAACGGCUACCACAUCCAAGGAAGGCAG
rnacentral:rRNA from 1 species